GGGGGCGUCGGGUUUCGACGGUUACCUCGGGGCUAGAGUUGCGUGUCGAGUGUUCUCAGUCACUCGUAAAUCCCUUGAGAAAAACUAUAAGUGACAACUCUGUUGCACUUGCUGCUUAAUCAUUGAUUUGAUUUGAGUAGUCGGACCCGAGAGCCGCGGCUAAGAAGUUUUCGGUAGUCCGUCAUUGCCAUAGCUAGGUUGUGGGCGCGUUGCCCCACUCACGACGACACAAAUGGGUAAAUCGCUGCAGGACGCUUGGGUUUCUUGGAGAAGCUUGUGGUUAAAUUAAUCAAGAAAACACACACGUAGAUACACUAGUGCUGGGUACUCCGGACGUGGGUUCAACUCCCACCGCCUCCA
rnacentral:tmRNA from 1 species